rfam:Pteropus alecto contig86375, whole genome shotgun sequence.
GGUUCCAUUCUGUAGCGGUUAGCAUGUCUGCUUUACACGCAGAAGUUCCUGGGUUCACACCCCAGUGGAGCUA